GCUAAUACCGCAUACGUCCUACGGGAGAAAGCAGGGGACCUUCGGGCCUUGCGCUAUCAGAUGAGCCUAGGUCGGAUUAGCUAGUUGGUGAGGUAAUGGCUCACCAAGGCGACGAUCCGUAACUGGUCUGAGAGGAUGAUCAGUCACACUGGAACUGAGACACGGUCCAGACUCCUACGGGAGGCAGCAGUGGGGAAUAUUGGACAAUGGGCGAAAGCCUGAUCCAGCCAUGCCGCGUGUGUGAAGAAGGUCUUCGGAUUGUAAAGCACUUUAAGUUGGGAGGAAGGGCAGUUACCUAAUACGUAAUUGUUUUGACGUUACCGACAGAAUAAGCACCGGCUAACUCUGUGCCAGCAGCCGCGGUAAUACAGAGGGUGCAAGCGUUAAUCGGAAUUACUGGGCGUAAAGCGCGCGUAGGUGGUUCGUUAAGUUGGAUGUGAAAUCCCCGGGCUCAACCUGGGAACUGCAUUCAAAACUGUCGAGCUAGAGUAUGGUAGAGGGUGGUGGAAUUUCCUGUGUAGCGGUGAAAUGCGUAGAUAUAGGAAGGAACACCAGUGGCGAAGGCGACCACCUGGACUGAUACUGACACUGAGGUGCGA
rnacentral:rRNA from 1 species